rnacentral:rRNA from 1 species
CCUACGGGUGGCUGCAGUGAGGAAUAUUGGUCAAUGGGCGCGAGCCUGAACCAGCCAAGUAGCGUGAAGGAUGACUGCCCUAUGGGUUGUAAACUUCUUUUAUAUAGGAAUAAAGUGAGGCACGUGUGCCUUUUUGUAUGUACCUUAUGAAUAAGGAUCGGCUAACUCCGUGCCAGCAGCCGCGGUAAUACGGAGGAUCCGAGCGUUAUCCGGAUUUAUUGGGUUUAAAGGGAGCGUAGAUGGGUUGUUAAGUCAGUUGUGAAAGUUUGCGGCUCAACCGUAAAAUUGCAGUUGAAACUGGCAGCCUUGAGUACAGUUGAGGUAGGCGGAAUGCGUGGUGUAGCGGUGAAAUGCUUAGAUAUCACGAAGAACUCCGAUUGCGAAGGCAGCUUACUAAACUGCAACUGACAUUGAUGCUCGAAAGUGUGGGUAUCAAACAGGAUUAGAUACCCGAGUAGUC